rnacentral:tRNA from 1 species
GCCCUACUAGCUCUGCAGGUAGAGCAUGAGACUCAUAAUCUCAGGGUAGUGGACUUGUGUCCCACGUUGGGCG